ACGGAGGGAGCUAGCGUUAUUCGGAAUUACUGGGCGUAAAGCGUACGUAGGCGGUUAUUCAAGUCAGAGGUGAAAGCCCGGGGCUCAACCCCGGAACUGCCUUUGAAACUAGAUAGCUAGAAUCUUGGAGAGGUCAGUGGAAUUCCGAGUGUAGAGGUGAAAUUCGUAGAUAUUCGGAAGAACACCAGUGGCGAAGGCGACUGACUGGACAAGUAUUGACGCUGAGGUACGAAAGCGUGGGGAGCAAACAGGAUUAGAUACCCUGGUAGUCCACGCCGUAAACGAUGAUAACUAGCUGUUCGGGCACUUGGUGCUUGAGUGGCGCAGCUAACGCAUUAAGUUAUCCGCCUGGGGAGUACGGUCGCAAGAUUA
rnacentral:rRNA from 1 species